rnacentral:rRNA from 1 species
CCUACGGGUGGCUGCAGCGGGGAAUAUUGCACAAUGGGCGCAAGCCUGAUGCAGCCAUGCCGCGUGUGUGAAGAAGGCCUUCGGGUUGUAAAGCACUUUCAGCGGGGAGGAAGGCGGUGAGGUUAAUAACCUCAUCGAUUGACGUUACCCGCAGAAGAAGCACCGGCUAACUCCGUGCCAGCAGCCGCGGUAAUACGGAGGGUGCAAGCGUUAAUCGGAAUUACUGGGCGUAAAGCGCACGCAGGCGGUCUGUCAAGUCGGAUGUGAAAUCCCCGGGCUCAACCUGGGAACUGCAUUCGAAACUGGCAGGCUAGAGUCUUGUAGAGGGGGGUAGAAUUCCAGGGUGAGCGGGGAAAUGCGUAGAGAUCUGGAGGAAUACCGGUGGCGAAGGGGGCCCCCUGGACAAAGACUGACGCGCAGGUUCGAAAGCGUGGGGAGCAAACAGGAUUAGAGACCCGAGUAGUC